rnacentral:rRNA from 1 species
GUAGGUGGCAAGCGUUGUCCGGAAUUAUUGGGCGUAAAGCGCGCGCAGGCGGUUCUUUAAGUCUGAUGUGAAGGCCCACGGCUCAACCGUGGAGGGUCAUUGGAAACUGGAGAACUUGAGUACAGAAGAGGAAAGCGGAAUUCCACGUGUAGCGGUGAAAUGCGUAGAGAUGUGGAGGAACACCAGUGGCGAAGGCGGCUUUCUGGUCUGUAACUGACGCUGAGGCGCGAAAGCGUGGGGAGCAAACAGGGAUUAGAUACCCUGGUAGUCCACGCCGUAAACGAUGAGUGCUAAGUGUUAGGGGGUUUCCGCCCCCUUAGUGCUGCAGCUAACGCAUUAAGCACUCCGCCUGGGGAUACGGCCGCAAGGCUG